GGAAAAUGAACCAGAAGGAGCUUGCUGACACACUGGAGAAAUAUUCAGAUGAUCCUGCUGUGAUUUGCCAACGUGAACUCAAAUCUAAUCUAAAGAAGAAGUUUCAGUGUGUAUUUGAGGGGAUCGCUAAACAAGGAAACCCAACACUUCUCAAUAAGAUCUACACAGAGCUCUACAUCACAGAGGGYGGAACAGGAGAGGUCAA